GCCGAUGUGGCGGAAUUGGCAGACGCACUUGACUCAAAAUCAAGCGGAGAUAAUCCGUGCCGGUUCGAGUCCGGCCAUCGGCA
rfam:Eubacterium sp. An11 An11_contig_8, whole genome shotgun sequence.